GGGCGCGUAGCUCAGCUGGUUAGAGCGCACGGUUCACAUCCGUGAGGUCACUGGUUCGAGUCCAGUCGUGCCCA
rnacentral:tRNA from 1 species